rnacentral:rRNA from 1 species
GACGAACGCUGGCGGCGUGCUUAACACAUGCAAGUCGAACGGAAAGGCCCGGCUUUUGUUGGGUUCUCGAUUGGCGAACGGGUGAGUAACACGUGUGUAACCUGCCCUUGACUUUGGGAUAACUUCAGGAAACUCGGGCUAAUAUCGGAUAGGAGCUCCUGCUGCAUGGUGGGGGUUGGAAAGUUUCGGCGGUUGGGGCUGGAUUCGCGGGUUAUCAGCUUGUUGGUGGAGUUGUGGCUUACCACGGCUUUGACGGGUAGCCGGCCUGAGCGGGUUGCCAGGCACCAGAGUCCUGAGGGAGGGCACAGAAUGCAACGGGCCGCAGUAGGGGGGAAUAUUGCAGAAUGGGCCGACGUCUGAGAUAGAAACGCUGCGUGCGGGAUGCCGGCCUUCGGGUUGAAAACCGAUUUCGCAGGUGACGAAGCGUGCGUGACGGUAAUGGGUAAAGAAGCACCGGCUAACUACGUG